rnacentral:rRNA from 1 species
CAAUAGCGUAUAUUUAAGUUGCUGCAGUUAAAAAGCUCGUAGUUGGAUUUCGGGUGGGAAUGGCCGGUCCGCCGUUUCGGUGUGCACUUGCUACGCCCACCUUGCUGCCGGGGACGUGCUCUUGAGUUCACGCUCGGGACACGGAGUCGGCGAGGUUACUUUGAGUAAAUUAGAGUGUUCAAAGCAGGCCUACGCUCUGAAUACAUUAGCAUGGAAUAACACGAUAGGACUCUGGCCUAUCUUGUUGGUCUGUAGGACCGGAGUAAUGAUUAAGAGGGACAGUCGGGGGCAUUCGUAUUUCAUUGUCAGAGGUGAAAUUCUUGGAUUUAUGAAAGACGAACUUCUGCGAAAGCAUUUGCCAAGAAUGUUUUCAUUAA